rnacentral:rRNA from 1 species
UACGUAGGGUGCAAGCGUUGUCCGGAAUUAUUGGGCGUAAAGAGCUCGUAGGCGGCUCGUUGCGUCGGCUGUGAAAACCCGCAGCUCAACUGUGGGCUUGCAGCCGAUACGGGCGGGCUGGGAUUCGGUAGGGGAGACUGGAAUUCCUGGUGUAGCGGUGAAAUGCGCAGAUAUCAGGAGGAACACCGGUGGCGAAGGCGGGUCUCUGGGCCGAUACUGACGCUGAGGAGCGAAAGCGUGGGGAGCGAACAGG